rnacentral:rRNA from 1 species
GACGAACGCUGGCGGCGUGCUUAACACAUGCAAGUCGAACGGAAAGGCCCUGCUUUUGUGGGGCGCUCGUGUGGCGAACGGGUGAGAAACACGUGUGUAACCUCCCCCUGACUUUGGGAUAACUUCAGGAAACUGGGGCUAAUACCGGAUAGGAGCUCCUGAUGCAUGGGGUGGGUUGGAAAGUUUCGGCGGUUGGGGAUGGACUCGCUGCUUAUCGGCUGGUUGGUGGGGUAGUGGCUUACCAGGGCUUUGACGGGUAGCCGGCCUGGGAGGGUGACCGGCCACAUGGGGACUGAGAUACGGCCCAGACUCGUACGGGAGGCAGCGGGGGGGAAUAUUGCACAAUGGCGGGACGCCUGAUGCGGCAACGCCGCGUGCGGAAUAACGGCUUUCGGGUUGUAAACCGCUUUGGCCUGUGACGAAGCGUGAGUGACGGUAAUGGGUAAAGAAGCACCGGCUAACUACGUG